rnacentral:rRNA from 1 species
AUUGAACGCUGGCGGCAUGCCUUACACAUGCAAGUCGAACGGCAGCGGACCUUCGGGUGCCGGCGAGUGGCGAACGGGUGAGUAAUAUAUCGGAACGUACCUUUCAGUGGGGGAGUAACGUAGCGAAAGUUACGCUAAUACCGCAUAUUCUGUGAGCAGGAAAGCAGGGGAGUCGCAAGACCUUGCGCUGAUUGAGCGGCCGAUAUCAGAUUAGCUAGUUGGUGAGGUAAAGGACUCACCAAGGCGACGAUCUGUAGCGGGUCGUGAGAGGAUGAUCCGCCACACUGGAACUGAGACACGGUCCAGACUCCUACGGGAGGCAGCAGUGGGGAAGUUUUGGUACAAUGGGCGCAAGCCUGAUCCAGCCAUGCCGCGUGAGUGAAGAAGGCC